CCUACGGGAGGCAGCAGUGAGGAAUAUUGGUCAAUGACCGUAAGGCUGAACCAGCCAAGUAGCGUGAGGGAAGACUGCCCUAUGGGUUGUAAACCUCUUUUAUGCGGGGAUAAAGAUGUCCACGUGUGGCUGUUUGCAGGUACCGCAUGAAUAAGGACCGGCUAAUUCCGUGCCAGCAGCCGCGGUAAUACGGAAGGUCCGAGCGUUAUCCGGAUUUAUUGGGUUUAAAGGGAGCGUAGGCCGGUCUUUAAGCGUGCCGUGAAAUUUUGUGGCUCAACCAUGAGAGUGCGGCGCGAACUGGAGACCUUGAGUGCGCGGAAGGCAGGCGGAAUUCGUGGUGUAGCGGUGAAAUGCUUAGAUAUCACGAAGAACCCCGAUUGCGAAGGCAGCCUGCCGCAGCGUUACUGACGCUGAAGCUCGAAAGCGCGGGUAUCGAACAGGAUUAGAUACCCUUGUAGUC
rnacentral:rRNA from 1 species